rnacentral:lncRNA from 1 species
ACGAAUUUUGCUGCCAAUAACAAAAGAGGCAAUCUGAUCUUUAGUAAAGAAAAGGGCGAAUCAGAUUUGGAAUGCUUUGGAACGCCUGAAACGCAACAAGAACAGCAAACAAAGUGAUUAAAUAAAAUCGACACAAGCAGAAUUUAAAAGAAAAAAUUGACAGCAAGAAAUUAAAAGAUAAGUCCUAAGAAGCCUUGAAAUCUCGAAAGAUUCCACAACUCCCUUCAAAUGGCUCUAAUCUCCCCUCCAAA